GGCGCGUGUUGCCCGUGGUUGUGUGUCGCUGGAAGAACACUGGAUUGAGCAUCAACUCACUGUACAUCAAUCAAGCACUGCGGUUUGCCAGCACACCACACCACUUUGACACUGGCUGCCAUACUGUAUGCUUCGCACGGAGGCUACUCAAGGCAAAGUGCUGACAUCAUCUAAAUGAGAAGCAGAAGGACCGGCUCUGGCUUUGUGAAGGGGGCAGUAGAGCCACAGUCAAGCAAACAAGUUUGAGGGAAACUGAUUCGUCGAGCAAGCGAAAACCGAGGAGCUGAGGACGGCCCGUCAAAGCGGCGAGUGUCAUUCAUCUGCUAACCUGUGCAAGGUGGGGGCCGCUUGAUGUACUCCUCCUGUGCCGGGUAGCAUAUGUCCACAGCAGCUGUGCCACCUUGAAUAGUCAGUGAUUGUGAGCUCGCUGACUGCAUUCCUGGGAGCUUGGCCAACAGCAGAGUGGAGUAAGCUGUCCUCCUCAUCUUCAUACAAGCUUCCAAUCUCUCAAUAUUCCACCCCAUUGGCAUUGAAUCAUUUUCCACAGAACCGGCUGAAUUCACACUAGCUACGGUAUACUGUGACAGAGAUAACAAUAGGCCCCCUGCAUGCAGACGCAUCCAAUUAGGACGCUAAAAAAGACGAAUAUUUCUCAUCAGUUAUUCUAUGGAGAAACGUUAUCUCUCAAAUGUGUCUGUCAAGAUACUUCAUCUGGGAUUCGUUUGUGACAAAUGACCCUACUGUAAAAUGUAAGUCUAUACCUUUGGUAGCAACCAUGUGGUUUGAUGCUAAGUUACGAGAGCAUCUUUCAGGAUAGACUUGGUGCAGGCUUUACACCAACAAUGGGAGGUUCUUCUACAUUGUUUAUGAGUGUAUUCGGGAACCAGGUGGUGAACCUCCAUCCCUUCCAAACCAUUUCCAUAUCCAAAACAACCUUCCUCCAUUAACGUCUCAUAUCCAUCAUGCACCGUCAUAUGCAGGUGAAUGCACACUGACUCACCACAAGUGACAUUGAGAGUUUUAAACAAUGACCAUCCCUUCACCAUGUUUCCAUUGGGUUCAGAAAACGUAUGCCCCCCGUAAAGCUGACAAUAUGGGCCAUUAAAAAAGAUUUAGGGUCUGUCUUCCAGCACCACCCUCUGGUGAGAAAACUAGAUAAAUAAUUGGGUUUCAAAAGGACAGCACCCUGAAAUAUAGGUUCUGUACAAUCCCAUUUUAACAGGUUAACACCAGCAAGAAAAUAUGUGAAGUUAUUGGACAAAUAGUUGAUUUUCCUUUUUACAGUCUUCGUACAGUCUGUCAGAGAGUCAGACUCUUUGGUGCUUUAUACCUUUCCAAAGUGUCCAAAGUGUCUAGUAGGCACAUCCACUUGAAACCCUUCCUUAACCCUGUCUUCGUCAUCAGACACACUAAAACCCAUCACCUGUAAUUGUGAUCAUCCUCUCUCUCUUUGGAAAAAACAACGGCUGUAAAUCGAAUCUAAAUGCAGACAUUACAAGGUUGGGUUGAAAUGGAAAUCCCAUUCCACGGAGUGAUGUCCGAUCAUAAACAAACAACCGACAUCUGUGGUAUUUCUCCACCCUAUCAGCCGGUGACCCUUGUCCCCUGGGGCUAGGGGGCUUGAGGGGUGGGCAAGGUGAAUGACGAGCCCUCAGAAUGGGAUGGCGUUCCCGAAAUAACACCAACCCCCACCCGAUGUUCUAAACAACACAAUCACACAAUCAAAGCUUUGCUGCCAUUUUUCCACUCAUUGUUUAAUUUUCUGGUGUGGGGGCUAUCUUAGAUAUCUCCACAGCUGGCUGUUCUUAUCUUUGACCUUCAGCUUGUUGCUUUGUCGCUGCCCCCCUCCCUUUCCCCCCUCUUCAAUGCAGUGCGACCUUCAGAGGGGUGUCAUUACGACUCCCUGAUCCAUUUGACGAUCCCCUCAUGUGGAAUGUGCAUACGCCGAAUAGCGGAGGAUGUGCACAGUAUGGGGUGAGGUGAAGUACUUACAGAAAUAUGACUUGACACGCUUUAUCAAAUGGGGAAAGAUGAAGACGAAACAGCUGCUGGUGCUGUCGUAAGCAAUCUGGCCGUGAUUGAAUAAAAGUGUCAGGAAAAGGACCGCUUGAUGGUCUUUUGUUCUCCCACAUCCAGCUUGAUGUUAGUUUGAGCUGUCAGGGGGGAAUCACAGCUGGGUGAUUUAUCAAUACUUGGAGUGACCUUGCAGCCACACUGGCUUUCUGAGUGUGUGCGAGUGCAUGUGAAUGUGUGUGUUUACAAUUACACUUGUGUAUGUGUGUGUGCGUGUAGGCACAGAGUUUCUUGGAUUAAAAGUGGGCAAAAUGUACUAUUCCAUAAAACCUUUGGUGUGCACGCAAUACGACACAAGCUCGUGUUGACUAUUCUUUUUCCUCCUAAAAUCUUGUUUUGCCACAUGACAAAAAUGAAACAAAGUACUCAUGAAGUCACAGAGAACAUUAUAAAAAUACUUCUUGUGAUAAACAUCAGGAAAAAAAGUUUGCUCUAGGUGUAGUAUUUGACCUGUCCACUUCAAAAAUCCUUGCUUUGAACACUUCGACAUCUCUCAUUAAAGUCUUGUCAUUUUUUUUUUACUGCAGCCUUUGGCUGUCUCUGUUGUGAUUAAGCAGAUGUUAUAUUGCAGUCUGCAACCGUCAU